AGAGGUCUUGGAGAACCAGGCCCAGUGCUGAGGUGUCAGAAGAUAGGACUCUUGGAGCAUCUCCACCAUGGCCUGGGGGGCUCUGCUUCUCCUCACCAUUCUCACUCAGGACACAGGGUGCUGGGCCCAAUCUGCUCUGACUCAGCCUCCCACAGCCUCUGGGUCUCUUGGAGGGAAGGUCACCAUCUCCUGUACUGGAACCAGCAGUGAUAUUGGAAGCUACAAUGAUGUCUCCUGGUACCAGCAGCUGCAAGGAACAUCCCCCAAACUUCUGAUAUAUGAUGUCAGCAAUCGGCCUUCAGGGAUCCCUGAUCGCUUCUCUGGCUCCAAGUCUGGCAACACAGCCUCCCUGAGCAUUGAUAGACUCCAGGCUGAGGACGAGGCUGAUUAUUACUGCUCUUCAUAUACAACUUCUAGCACGUAUGUCUUCGGCAGCGGGACCCAACUCACCGUCGUAGGUCAGCCCAAGGCCGCCCCCUCAGUCACUCUAUUCCCGCCUUCUCCUGAGGAGCUCCAGACCAGCAAGGCCACACUGGUGUGUCUGAUAAAUGACUUCUACCCGAAAGACGUGACGGUGGCCUGGAAGGCAGAUGGCACUGCAGUCACCCAGGGAGUUCAGACCACGCAGCCCUCCAAACAGAGCAACAACAAGUACAUGGCCAGCAGCUACCUGACCAUGACUCCAGAUGAGUGGAGAUCUCACAAUACAUUCACCUGCCACGUCACACAUGAAUCUGGCAAUGUGGAGAAGAGUCUGGCCCCUGCAGAGUGUUCCUAGAACAAUGAUCUCCAUCUUCUUCUCAGAGGGCGAAGCAGAAGGACCCUGAGGAAGAGUCCCCUUUCCUACCCCACCAACCUUUUCCUGCCUUUCUUCUGAACCCGAAAAUGCUCAAUAAAAUAGGCCCUGUCAAU